UACAGAGGUCUCGAGCGUUAGGCGGAAUCACUGGGCUUAAAGCGUGUGUAGGCGGAUCGGUAAGUACCUUGUGAAAUCCCACAGCUUAACUGUGGAACUGCUUGGUAUACUGCCAGUCUUGAGCCACUUAGGGGCUACCGGAACAAAUGGUGGAGCGGUGAAAUGCGUAGAUAUCAGGAGGAACACCGGUGGCGAAGGCGGGUCUCUGGGCCGUAACUGACGCUGAGGAGCGAAAGCAUGGGGAGCGAACAGG
rnacentral:rRNA from 1 species